GGAUUAUCUUUCUCCACUCUAAAUAAUUAAAUAAUUUUGAGUUGAAUACUCGGAAAUGCGUAAUACUUCUAAUUAUUAAAUUUCCAUCUAUUAUAAUUUAUUUUGGUUAGUUUGGUUAUAACCGAUAGCUACCAAAUAUUUUCGGUUUUGAUUAGAUUUAGUUCUCUUAAUUUCAGUUCGAUCAUAUUUUAGAGUCUGUUAAAAUUUUCAAUUAGUCAAAAUUUUGAUUUAGUUCUGUUAAUUGAAUGCACGCCUGAUAAAUUACCCCUUGAACCUUGAACAUUUUGUUUAUGUGUAGGAUUUGCUUUAAAUUAUAGUCCAACAUCUUCAUGACAAAUUUUAUUCACAUCUUCAUUUAAAUUCCAAAUGGGCAUACAUAUCUAUGCUUGCUUUAGCUGUUAUCUGACUCUUUUUUAUCUAUUUUUUUCUAGGUGCCAACCAUGGACAAUAACACUCACUGGAGUAUCAGUGAUUGCUUGUAGUUGGCUGAUGUUGCACUCAGUUGUAAUUACGAGUAUUUUACUCCUGUUAAUAUGCUUCUGGUGGUACAUUUUUCUGUAUUCUUAUCCCAAGGUAUGAUCUCACUUGACAACUAAUGUUUGCUGAUUAACUUCUUUUUCUUCAAUAGUCAGUUAUUGAAGCUGGGAAUUACAAAUCAAUUAUUUUGUGUAUACUUGCCUUGCAUAUUUUUUGUCGUUAGGGUAAAUUUUGUAUGUGUUGGAACUCAGAACAGUUUAUUCAAGCAGUUAACAAUCGAAAUCUCUCUCCUUCCUUCCCACUCCUAUCUUCUGGAGUUCAAAUUUUGGAGACUCAAUAUGGCACAUGAUAAUAAAGUAUACUUCCCAAACCAAUGCAUUUUAUGUAAUACAUGAUAUUUGGCAGAAACAGUGCUUAAAAGGGCUUCAGAUGGCAUUUGUGAGAUGACACAAGGUAUUAAGUUGCAGAAUGAACAACAAUGAGAAGUGAAUUUGCAGGAAAUUUAUGGCAUGACUUUUCUUAAUGUCUAAAUUGUGGUGUUUGAAGCUUGGAACUUACUUUUACAUGCGUGCAAUAGUUGUUUUGUAACAGUGGAUACCGGUCCUUAAAUUGGUGUCCUAUAUCUCUGGAAGAGUUAGCGAACUAUGCAUUGUUUUAUGUUGGACUUGCUUAGAAGAGGAGAUUCACAUCUAUCAAGUUGGUUUACUUGACAAUUUCAACAUACGCCUCUUGUCUUACUUUGGUAUUGAUUUGAUGCCACUUCAAAAUAUAAAGAAGCAUUGCCUUUUGUAUUUUGAAGUUAGUAUAAUAUUCUGUUUGGUUUCUCUCGAGAAAUUCCUAUUUGAACGAGAGCUAUCUUUAUUUUUGUAUGUUUGAAAGUUGCAUUUUGGUAUUAGAUUAUCUUAUUUUCUUUACAGGCAUAUGCUGACAUGAUUGCUGAACGAAGAAAAAGAGUGAACAGCGGUGUUGAAGAUACAUAUGGCUGGAGGAAGAUCCAAUGAUUAGAAGUGAAAAAAUGAACUUGUCAAGUCCCCCUUCUCUCUAUCUUCUCUCUCAAUAUGUGUGAAAUUUUUGUAAUUUCGAUCUUGCAAAUAGCUGGAUUACAUAUAUCAUAAGCUCUAUUUGGUUAGCUAGAUUGUACCCUUUUCAUGUGUGUUUUGUAGUCGGUAGGUAUAUAUAUUUUUCUCAAUAGGGAUUUUAACAAAAAUUUAUGAGGGAGGAGGAGAGAAGG
rnacentral:misc_RNA from 1 species